rnacentral:lncRNA from 1 species
GUGAGUGCCAUGCCAGUGCCACCAGUGUGGGGUGGAGGAGACGCGCUCGGAGAAAGCAGUUGCUCGCACAGCCCGUUUGGCUGAUUGGCCAAGAAAGAAAGAGCUCCUCUCUUCGGGUGGCAUGGCGUCCUCCGGAGACAGAGGCGUGCUCCGCUCUGCUACAGACAGCCUAGGAGUUAAUCAUCAAGGAGAUGCCAUCCUGUGGAUACUGGUAGAGAGCAGAAUGACUAAAUAAAUCAAGACAACAUAUACAACACAACAGCAGCCUAAUCUUGGUAAUCCUGGGGCAUUAAAAGAAGAAAUUGCGAAGUUCUUCUAUGCUUAGCCUCUGUGGAAAUAUAAAUAAAAGGAAACUGAAUAUAUUGUCCACACUGUUCUGGAGAACAAAGUUGUGAUAUUUUACUUUGUAGCGAC